UUGCUUUUGAUGGGUGUCGACCGGCGCACGGGUGAGUAACGCGUAUCCAACCUGCCCACCACUUGGGGAUAACCUUUGCGAAAGUAAGACUAAUACCCAAUGAUAUCUCUAGAAGACAUCUGAAAGAGAUUAAAGAUUUAUCGGUGAUGGAUGGGGAUGCGUCUGAUUAGCUUGUUGGCGGGGUAACGGCCCACCAAGGCGACGAUCAGUAGGGGUUCUGAGAGGAAGGUCCCCCACAUUGGAACUGAGACACGGUCCAAACUCCUACGGGAGGCAGCAGUGAGGAAUAUUGGUCAAUGGGCGAGAGUCUGAACCAGCCAAGUAGCGUGCAGGAUGACGGCCCUAUGGGUUGUAAACUGCUUUUAUAAGGGAAUAAAGUGAGUCUCGUGAGACUUUUUGCAUGUACCUUAUGAAUAAGGACCGGCUAAUUCCGUGCCAGCAGCCGCGGUAAUACGGAAGGUCCGGGCGUUAUCCGGAUUUAUUGGGUUUAAAGGGAGCGUAGGCCGGAGAUUAAGCGUGUUGUGAAAUGUAGACGCUCAACGUCUGCACUGCAGCGCGAACUGGUUUCCUUGAGUACGCACAAAGUGGGCGGAAUUCGUGGUGUAGCGGUGAAAUGCUUAGAUAUCACGAAGAACUCCGAUUGCGAAGGCAGCUCACUGGAGCGCAACUGACGCUGAAGCUCGAAAGUGCGGGUAUCGAACAGGAUUAGAUACCCUGGUAGUCCGCACGGUAAACGAUGGAUGCCCGCUGUUGGUCUGAACAGGUCAGCGGCCAAGCGAAAGCAUUAAGCAUCCCACCUGGGGAGUA
rnacentral:rRNA from 1 species